rnacentral:rRNA from 1 species
CUGUGGAUCGGAGUGAAAGGCUAAUCAAGCUCGGAGAUAGCUGGUUCUCCUCGAAAGCUAUUUAGGUAGCGCCUCGUGUAUAACUGUUGGGGGUAGAGCACUGUUUCGGCUAGGGGGUCAUCUCGACUUACCAACCCGAUGCAAACUCCGAAUACCAACAAGUUUGAGCACGGGAGACACACGGCGGGUGAUAAGGUCCGUCGUGGAAAGGGAAACAGCCCAGACCGUCAGCUAAGGUCCCAAAAUCUAUGCUCAGUGGGAAACGAUGUGGAAAGGCACAGACAGCCAGGAGGUUGGCUUAGAAGCAGCCAUCCUUUAAAGAAAGCGUAAUAGCUCACUGGUCGAGUCGGUCUGCGCGGAAGAUUUACCGGGGCUAAGCAUAGUACCGAAGCUACGGGUCACACUUUUAGUGUGGCGGUAGAGGAGCGUUCUGUACGCCUGCGAAGGUUCAUUGAGAAGUGGGCUGGAGGUAUCAGAAGUGCGAAUGCUGACAUGAGUAACGAUAAUGGGGGUGAAAAACCCCCACGCCGAAAAUCCAAGGUUUCCUGCGCAACGCUAAUCGACGCAGGGUUAGUCGGUACCUAAGGCGAGGCCGAAAGGCGUAGUCGAUGGAAAGCAGGUUAAUAUUCCUGCACCAGUGGUAACUGCGAUGGGGUGACGGAGAAGGCUAGGUCAGCUGUCUGUUGGAAUAGGCAGUUUAAGCGAGUAGGGAGGGUUCUUAGGCAAAUCCGGGAACCUAUAUUCUGAGACGUGAUGACGAGUUGUUCUUAGGAACGACGAAGUGAUUGAUGCCAUGCUUCCAAGAAAAACCUCUAAGCUUCAGGUUACCAGUGGCCGUACCCCAAACCGACACAGGUGGAUGGGAUGAGAAUUCUAAGGCGCUUGAGAGAACUCGGCUGAAGGAACUAGGCAAAAUGGUACCGUAACUUCGGGAGAAGGUACACCCCAAGUAGGUGAAGGCACUUGCUGCUGGAGUUGAAAGGGGUUGCAAUAAAUUGGUGGCUGCGACUGUUUAGCAAAAACAUAGCACUCUGCAAACUCGAAAGAGGAAGUAUAGGGUGUGACGCCUGCCCGGUGCUGGAAGGUUAAUUGAUGGGGUCAUCUUCGGAGAAGCUCUUGAUCGAAGCCCCAGUAAACGGCGGCCGUAACUAUAACGGUCCUAAGGUAGCGAAAUUCCUUGUCGGGUAAGUUCCGACCUGCACGAAUGGC